GAACGGGUGAGUAACACGUGGGUGAUCUGCCCUGCACUUUGGGAUAAGCCUGGGAAACUGGGUCUAAUACCGAAUAGGACCACGCGCUUCAUGGUGUGUGGUGGAAAGCUUUUGCGGUGUGGGAUGGGCCCGCGGCCUAUCAGCUUGUUGGUGGGGUAAUGGCCUACCAAGGCGACGACGGGUAGCCGGCCUGAGAGGGUGACCGGCCACACUGGGACUGAGAUACGGCCCAGACUCCUACGGGAGGCAGCAGUGGGGAAUAUUGCACAAUGGGCGCAAGCCUGAUGCAGCGACGCCGCGUGAGGGAUGACGGCCUUCGGGUUGUAAACCUCUUUCAAUAGGGACGAAGCGCAAGUGACGGUACCUAUAGAAGAAGCACCGGCCAACUACGUGCCAGCAGCCGCGGUAAUACGUAGGGUGCGAGCGUUGUCCGGAAUUACUGGGCGUAAAGAGCUCGUAGGUGGUUUGUCGCGUUGUUCGUGAAAACUCACAGCUUAACUGUGGGCGUGCGGGCGAUACGGGCAGACUAGAGUACUGCAGGGGAGACUGGAAUUCCUGGUGUAGCGGUGGAAUGCGCAGAUAUCAGGAGGAACACCGGUGGCGAAGGCGGGUCUCUGGGCAGUAACUGACGCUGAGGAGCGAAAGCGUGGGGAGCGAACAGGAUUAGAUACCCUGGUAGUCCACGCCGUAAACGGUGGGUACUAGGUGUGGGUUCCUUCCUUGGGAUCCGUGCCGUAGCUAACGCAUUAAGUACCCCGCCUGGGGAGUACGGCCGCAAGGCUAAAACUCAAAGGAAUUGACGGGGGCCCGCACAAGCGGCGGAGCAUGUGGAUUAAUU
rnacentral:rRNA from 1 species